ensembl:lncRNA
CUUUUUUAUGAUAUUUGAACGUUGGAGCAAUGAAACUGAUGUGAAGUUGUCUCUAAAAUCAAGGAAUACUUCCACCAUCAUAUGAAGAAGCCUGGUCUAGCAGUUUGGAAGAGAAGAGGCUAUUUGCAGUAGAGACAAAUCAUCCCAGCUCCUGGACCAAUUAGUCAACUGUCAGCAUCAUUUGCCAGAAAUGUAAGUGAGACCAUCUUGGACAACCCAGCCUUUGUGGAGUCAUCAAGCACAUCAUGUGUGACCUCAGGCAAGACCAAGGCAAGAAUCACUCAGGGAAGAAAUCGUAAUGUUGGGUCUGCAGCCAGUUGGGACACAUAAGUAGAGACACCUGUGGUGCGGACUUUGUCGAUACGCCUCGAGAAUGAACUGAUGUGUUGUUUUAUGACUUUUUGGCCGUGUCUUUCUAAACGCUGAUAUUCAAAGAGAAUAUUUGUCAAAUGGAAUACUUUGUUAUUAAAUUUUGGGGGGCUUGGUGGAGAAUUAAUGCACAGCAUGUCAAUGGCGCACGUGCAUUUAGAAUGGAUGGAAUACCACGUUGAAAAUCUGCUGAGCUCUGUGCCUUGAAAGUCAGCCAUGGGGGUUCUGCUCUUAAAAAAUAGCUACCAUUUCUUGAAAAUCUACUUUCUCUUUUCUUUAGCCACAGGCCCAUCCAGUCUCCAUGCCAGACAAACAAGGUGUGGUAGGAGGUUAAUCUUCCAGCGGGACUGUAAAAUGUCAAGGCUGGAGACAAGACUCAAGGUGUAGAAAGUAAUGUAAACCCUAUUAUAUGUCAAUGUCUUCUACUAUAUAAAAAGAGAAAGUCAGAGGGAGAGGAGGAACAGAGAGACAAACCCACAGCUGAAAAAUAAAAGGGGGUUCUAAGUAAAAUCAUACUUGUAAAACGUAGGGCUUAAACAGGCUGUUUCCAUCAUACCUAUGCAAAGCAACACUCGAGCCAUUUAUUUGCUUAGCCUCUCUGGGCCACAAUUUCCUCUAGACGAAAAGAAUAGCUCCUCCAUGGUGCUACUCUGCUGGUAACCAUAGGUGACAAGUGAGUGAGGCUCAAACCUAACUCUGGACCUAGAGUUCCAGGGGUUAAAAUCUUGCUUCACCACUUUGUUUCCUCACAUGUAAAAUGAAGGCACUAACAGUACAAAGUUUACAUUAAAAAAAAUAAAAAAUAAACUUGAAACCAACCAAGACUUUGCAUUUCUCAGUUAUGAAAAAAAAUUUCCUGAAAAUGAACUAUAUGACAUUUAAUGACACAUGGUGAAAAUUUUAGCCAUAUUCCUCUGAGUGACUCAUAAUGUGUUUUCUAGAAGAAAAAACUGUCCUGCAAACCAAGAAAGGUCUUCUGAGAAAAUGACAGAGCAGAGACCUGGUACUGCUUCUGGAAAUUUGGAAAGUUUGUUCAAGAGGGCUUCUUUCCAAGGUGUAGCUGCCACAUUGAGCCUCCGUACAUUCAUUUUUACUUUAAUUCCAUGGUUUCAUUGGAGAACAAUGGAUACAUAUUGAAUAAAGAGGAUUCCAGGGAGUUUUAUGGCAAGCCCUCAAGUACACACACAUAUAAUCAAAAUUUAGCUCAUUACAAUAUUUGCUUCUGAUCUUCAUUGGUUUUAGAACCAGUAGUUUAUAGAUGCAGCUGAAAUCUCACUGGUAUUCACCCUAUUUUCAUGUCUUGCCACUCAGUCCAGGAGCAAUUAUUAUCCUGAAAUCAGUGCCUCUUCUUCCACAAUGAAGUGAUUUCAUUCCCUCAGGGAAAAUUUUAAAAGAGUAUGAUUCCAUCUUACAUAUUCGCAUAAGUUGUUUCUAGCAAACCAAAGUUUAAAAUUAAAGUCAUAUUUUGGAGAUCUAUUUAUAUCGAUACAAAUAUUAGGUUGAACUAUAUACAGCUGUCAAUAAACAACUGAUUUUUCCCUAUAAAAAUAACAGUCUUACAUAAGUAAACAAUGGGUAUCAACUUUCCUCAGUUUAAUUUACAAUAAUUUAUACUUCACAACUUUUAAGAUACAUUCACCCAUUGUUACACUUUGAACUUCCUUCUUUUUUUUAAUGAUGAUAAAUUGUGUUUAAUUAAUCUGUGUGAAUCUGCUUAUUGGCCACUCAGGUCUUCUUAAUUCUGAAUUUCCUUUUUUAUAUACUUUACCAUUUUUUUCUAUUUGUAUUUUAUCAAUAUUUUAUUGACCUGUAGAUGUUUUAUGUAGUCUACAUACUGACUCUUGUCUAAGUGUUGGCAAUUACUUUUAGUUAAUCACUUAAUUGUAGUUGUUUUUAUCAUGUGUUUUGUGGGCUUUUUUUAUU